AGUGAACGCUGGCGGUAGGCCUAACACAUGCAAGUCGAACGGCAGCACAGUAAGAGCUUGCUCUUACGGGUGGCGAGUGGCGGACGGGUGAGGAAUACAUCGGAAUCUACUUUUUCGUGGGGGAUAACGUAGGGAAACUUACGCUAAUACCGCAUACGACCUACGGGUGAAAGCAGGGGAUCUUCGGACCUUGCGCGAUUGAUUGAGCCGAUGUCGGAUUAGCUAGUUGGCGGGGUAAAGGCCCACCAAGGCGACGAUCCGUAGCUGGUCUGAGAGGAUGAUUAGCCACACUGGAACUGAGACACGGUACAGACUCCUACGGGAGGCAGCAGUGGGGAAUAUUGGACAAUGGGCGCGAGCCUGAUCCAGCCAUACCGCGUGGGUGAAGAAGGCCUUCGGGUUGUAAAGCCCUUUUGUUGGGAAAGAAAAGCAGCAGGUUAAUACCCCGCUGUUCUGACGGUACCCAAAGAAUAAGCACCGGCUAACUUCGUG
rnacentral:rRNA from 1 species